UCAAGAAAUGGAACGGCAAGGCCACAGAACAUGACAUAAGCAGAGCUGUGGGAGACCACCUCAAGCCCCUGGUAGAGCCGGGGGUGGUGUUUACCACUCCACCACGCCUUCAGCAGGCUUGAAAAGUGGGAUUGAUACUGUUUUUCAUACUAAGAUGGACCAAGAAAUGUGUUGAUUUUACACAUAUUUGUUCAUUGGUUUGGCAAGAGUCUUGAUUGGUCAGUCAGUGGGUUCAUUUGUUUUACAAUAUGUUCAAAUCAAAUCAAGCUAUAUUUACACAGCACAUGUCGGACAUGGAUGCAAUGCAAUGGCUUCACAGGAAAAAAAAACAAUGAUAAUUAAACAGAUAUAUUUAGUACGCAACAAACAUAAGAGGAUAAAAAACAGAAGAUUAACAACUGAAAGACUAAUGAACAUUGUAAGGAAAUGCCAUUGAUUAAAAUAUUAACAUUAUGAUGCAACAUCCAACCCAAAAUAUCCGCUUGUUUUACUACAUUGUUAUGCUCCCCGUCAAAAAAAAAUGUUUCUCAACCGGAAAUCCAUGUCUGAAAUGCGCUGUAUAAUUAAAGCUUGGUUUGGUUUGAACAUAUUGCAAAAUGAAUUAACCCAAUGACCAACCAAUCAACAGACUCCUGCUCCAUCUUAGUAUGAAAAACAGUAUAAAUUCAGUGCAUUUGUUGAAGAUGAAAAAUGUUGAAAUCAACAAUACGUCAAAGGAUUCAACUACUGAAAACUGAAACAUACAAAUGGAUCAACCAGAUCAAUCCCACUUUUCCAGCCUGCUGAAGGUGUGGUGGAGUGGUAAACACCACCAGGGGCUUGAGGUGGUCUCCCACAGCUCUGCUUAUGUUAUGUUCUGUGGCCUUGCCGUUCCAUUUCUUGACUGCCCCUGCAACACAGAAAGAAACACAUUUAGUCAUAUUAUAUAAAACAUUCAAAGUAAUGGAUAUGGAGCAUCUACAGCCUCAGUUACACCUGGCACCUAAAUGUGACUUCUGUCAUCUGAUCACUCAAAGCUGCAUUAGGUUCAGAUCUACCAGGAUGGGCCUUGACAUAGUCUGGAUGCAUUCAGGCCACCAAAUAUGCAUAAGCAAUGUAAAGAGAUGUGGGGAAAAGUAAAUUCUACACAAAUUACCUUAAUAAUACCAAAGAACAAAUGUGUGUGCCUGAGAGGAAAUUAACUUUCAUACAGCCAGAAGGGGUGAGAAAUUACAUCAAUAUCAGUGAACAAUUUGCACUAAUGUAAAUAAACAUAGCUAAUGGAACAUAUUCCCUUUUGCUUAAGUGAUGAACCGAUAAGGGGACAUAAAUAUUUACCAUCUAAACCAUCUGUGACCUCUCACCUCUCUGGCUGUAGAAGUGUUCUUCAUAACCAGUCCCUCAACAGCUCUCUGACUGAGCUCCACCCUCACUGGGUCUUCAGAGGAGAGGAAGGCUGAGGAGGGAUGGAAGGAUGAAUGGAUCAAAUCAAAUCAAAUUUUAUUAGUCACAUACACAUGGUUAGCAGAUGUUAAUGCGAGUGUAGCGAAAUGCUUGUGCUUCUAGUUCCGACAAUGCAGUAAUAACAACAAGUAAUCUAACCUAACAAUUCCGCAACUACUACCUUAUACACGCAAGUGUAAAGGGAUAAAGAAAUAAAGAAUAUGUACAUAGAGAUAUAUGAAUGAGUGAUGGUACAGAACGGCAUAGGCAAUGGUGCAGUACAUGGUAUAGAGUACGGUAUAUACCUAUGAGAUGAGUACUGUAGGGUAUGUAAACAUAAAGUGGCAUAGUUUAAAGUGGCUAGUGGUCCAUGUAUUACAUAAGAUGGCAAGAUGCAGUAGAUGAUAUAGAGUACAGUAUAUACAUAUACAUAAGAGAUGUGUAAUGUAGGGUAUGUAAACAUUAUAUUAGGUGGCAUUGUUUAAAGUGGCUGGUGGUACAUUUUUACAUAAUUUCCAUCAAUUCCCAUUUUUAAAGUGGCUGGAGUUGAGUCAGUAUGUUGGCAGCGGCCGCUAAAUGUUAGUGGUGGCUGUUUAACAGUCUGAUGGCCUUGAGAUAGAAGCUGUUUUCAGUCUCUCGGUCCCUGCUUGGAUGCACCUGUACUGACCUCGCCUUCUGGAUGAUAGCGGGGUGAACAGGCAGUGGCUUGGGUGGUUGUUGUCCUUGAUGAUCUUUAUGGCCUUCCUGUGACAUCGGGUGGUGUAGGUGUCCUGGAGGGUGUCCUGGAUCAGUCAUUCAAUAAAGUGUAGAGCUGCUGUCUGACAAAAUCACUAUUUUAGUAGUUCAUUAAAGUAAAUAAGGCUUUAUGACUGCUGAAUACCAGCUAUCAAUCACUUAGAUUGUGUAUUUUCAGGUAGAGAUACAUCUGUGGGGCGUUCCUAGCCCGUUGAAGUUGACAUUUAAAAGGGUUAAGGUGGGGGUUUAGGGUAGGAAUGUCCCAAGAAUCCCAGAUACCAUUUACCAUUGUGCAUUCUUCUGUCUCUUUUACAUAGCAGGUGUAAAAUAAACAGACAAGACAAGUAGACACGCAGGUCAUUAUGGUCAUUGCAGUUUAAAAAAUAGCAUCCAAUUAUGCGUAACUGUAUGUGGGUUUGUUUAAGAAGAAUGUGAUUGUCAGCCCUAACAAUCCAUUCUAGCACCUCAUCAGGUUCUGAAAAAGUCUUCAUUGAUGACAUGUUCCUUCUAUUCCAGGGGACAGCAGAAGAACUUCAUCGAUUCGACUCCUUCAUCAAUACAAACAGUGAACAUCUGAAAUUCACCCUCACCUUUGAUGUGCAAGAAACAAGUUAUCUGGACAUGUUGAUUAAGAGGAAGGGGGUGGCUUUAGCACAGACCUAUACAGGAAGCCGACGGACAGGAAUUCCCUGUUACGCAGAGACAGCUUCCACCCUACACCCCUAAAAAAAAACCAAUUGUAAUACUUGAGUAUAGAAAACAUUUAAAAUGUAAAUUUGUAAUUUUAAUUUCGCAAAUUUCAAACAAAAACAUAACUGUUUUUACUUGUAGGUAACCAGAUCGUGACUACAACUCAGUUACUAAGUCUUUAACCACACUGUGUUGUUACACUGGUGAGUAAAAACUCAUGCUUCCUACCCUUUAACUUUUUGUCUGAAAAUAAAAUCUACAUUUUACUCAACUGCGUCCAGUCAGCAGAUGGACUAGAUGCCGCUUAGGCUGCCCAUUGUGACUCAGUCAAGAAUUCAGCAGAGCAAGUUUGUAUGAAGGUCUGGUUAGUAAAUGGGUACAUAGUUCAAUAGUAAUAUCCUCUAAAACGCUCUGGUGACAAACUUUGCUGCCCUGUUUCCAAUUGUCCACAUGGCUGGGAGAACCUAUUCAAGUAAGUAAGUAUGUAAACAGAUUUUGAAAAUGUAAAAAAAAACGAUGUAUUAUUUGCUAACUAGCUGCAGUGUAGGCUAACUCAAAUGAGCUGUUAAAUGAGCUAUCUAGUUGGCUAGCUAUCUAACCAACUUCAAAUACUGUAUAGAUAGAUAAGUGAAUUAAAAAUCACCAGCUACCUAACUUCAUAUUAGCUAGCUAUCUAUCACUGUAAAAAACAAACUCCAAAUGCAUUUGUAGGUAGCUAGCUAACAGCCAUGGAGGGUGAAAGGAUAGCAGCCCCAACUGUCAGUGAGAGAGGAGGCUAUUCUGGAUAGGGCAGGUACUUUAGUGUAGUUCCUGUCCCUAGAAGUGAGGACGGAGAUAAAAGUAACAUAAUGUUCAGUGUGGUGUAGUUUGACUAUAAUGAAGUGUUUUUCUUUUGAGGUUUUCUGUCCUCAGAUAAAGAGCGCUAUGAAAGCCAGUCAACAUAUGAAGAGGUCCCAAUGAAGAGCAGUGGUUCUCAGUCCUGGGGACUCAAAGAGAGGAACAUAGUUGUUUUUGCCUCAGCACUACACAGCUGAUUCAAAUGAUCAACUCAUCAUCAAGCUUCAAGUGAUACCUUGUAACUUGAGAUUCCUUCAAAAUGAUUGUCUACAGUUAACGUGUAGGGCACUGCAAGGUUGGGUGACCAGGGUCAUCUGGGACCGCCUCCUGGAGGAAUUCAGGUGUGUGAAGGCUACCUGUGUCCUGCGUAACUUCAUGAGGAUGGACACAAGGACCAGGAGGGGAUCUGCAGCUCGCCGCCGUGUCCCAGAGGAGAAGUCUGCUGCUCUGCAGGAUGUUUCAAGGUCGGGGUUCAACAACGCAGCAAGAGAGGCAAUCCGUGUGCAGGAGAUCUUCACCUCCUACUUCUUCAAAGAGGGGGCUGUUCCCUGGCAACACCAUAGACUACACUAUGCUCAACCAAAGGCUCUUUUAAGAGGGUGCUGUUCCCUGGCAACACCAUAGACUACACUAUGCACAACCAAAGGCUCUUUUAAGAGCCAUUCACAUUGCAAUAAGUAUUCUUCCAUUUACUUAGCUAUGUCAACUGCAGUUAUUCAAUUCCUAGUUUCUCUCCCUUUGAUUUCUACUUCUCAUAUGAGGGUGCUCUUUAGGUAAGGGUUUGAUGUCUGUGCAAAAACAAAACAGGCUAUUUUAAAUCACUAAUAUUGAAAACAUGUAGAACAAUUAGACACCCUAUAACCCACACAUGUAUCAAUCUGAUUGAUUGUGUGCAGUAAACAGGCUCAGGUGUAUAACUGUGGCUCCUUCCACCUUCAAAGAAUAGGCAAGAGGGCCAUCCAUGGAGAAUAGUAAGACACUUAAUUAUUUCUAUAACUACUCUAUAUUGUUUGUCCGUUCAUGUUUUUCAGCAUAAAGUACUCUGCAGACACUUAGUGUGGUGUGGACACCAGGUUAUAUCAGCUGUGUCGGUGAACCCCUCCUGCAUCUGAACUGGCUACAUAGAGGGCACAUCAUGAUCAGAGGAAGUAUUAUUAAAGAGAUGCUUUACAUUGAAAUACAGAUGGAGAUGCAGUAGUCGAGUUAAUGAUCCAAGACAUGUUUUGAUGUGAGAGGAUGCCAACCCCCAGUCCCAUCAUCGCCACCUCACCCUCUUUUAAGAUAACCUUUGUACCGACUAGACACCAUUAUGUAAUUGUGAUGAACUGAGAGAAUAUUUAUGUAGCACUGUGAUUCAUUAAUCAUGUGCUGCCUUCCCUGCUCCUAUGUGCUUACCUCUUUCUCUUUGUCUGUUACAACUCCUCUUCUAUAAUGCACAACAGAUGUGCAUUGAAGUACAGAUUGAACUUGUAUUUAUAACACUUGGAUAAUGAGCAUUUCACAUUCUCUACUUGUUGAAAUUAAGUGUAAUUUGAUGAAAUACUCCACCUAUCCUGUUUUUAUCAGAUCAAUGCAGAUGAAGGGCAUUAGAUGUUGAGAUGAACCGGUGUUAAGAGUAUUUACAUGAUGCAUAGGAAGUGUAGUGUUCUGUUUAACAUUAUAUUUCUGUAUAUAUGAAUUAACUGGUUAAAUCCUGUUUCUAGUCUAUUAGUUACAAUGUGUAACCAUUGAUGUCCCAGGACCAAGAUUGGUAAACGCUGUUGAAGUGUAUAAUUGUAAUACAUACAUGAAGACACAGCAUCAUUCAAAGACUGGAAUUUGAUAUUCCUGGUAUUGGAUAUGACUGAAAAAUAAUCUCAAAGACAUUCAUACCUGAACAGCACCUUUAUUUGCCAAGGUAGAGUACAUGAUCAGUGAAUAUAUUAAAUGUACAUGCUACAAUGUGGGGAUCUCAUGCAUGGUAAUAACUACAUGUAUAUACGACUUGCAUCCUUGGCACAACAUGAUAUUAUAUUCUACUCAAUCCA